rnacentral:rRNA from 1 species
AUGAACGCUGGCGGCGUGCCUAAUCCCUGCAAGUCGAGCGAACAGACGAGGAGCUUGCUCCUCUGACGUUAGCGGCGGACGGGUGAGUAACACGUGGAUAACCUACCUAUAAGACUGGGAUAACUUCGGGAAACCGGAGCUAAUACCGGAUAAUAUAUUGAACCGCAUGGUUCAAUAGUGAAAGACGGUUUUGCUGUCACUUAUAGAUGGAUCCACGCCGGAUUAGCUAGUUGGUAAGGUAACGGCUUACCAAGGCAACGAUGCGUAGCCGACCUGAGAGGGUGAGCGGCCACACUGGAACUGAGACACGGUCCAGACUCCUACGGGAGGCAGCAGUAGGGAAUCUUCCGCAAUGGGCGAAAGCUUGACGGAGCAACGCCGCGUGAGUGAUGAAGGUCUUCGGAUCGUAAAACUCUGUUAUUAGGGAAGAACAAAUGUGUAAGUAACUAUGCACGUCUUGACGGUACCUAAUCAGAAAGCCACGGCUAACUACGUG